CACCAUCAACCAGUCAAACAUGAGCGGCUGUUGUGACUUAACGAAGAAAUGUUUAACCCUAAAAAGGGGGGGCAUUCUUCUUAACGAAGCUGUCACACCGCCGCGACGGACUCUACUGUUGUUUACUUCAAAACCUCGAAACGUCAAAAACCGUCACAACUACUCUCAAACGACGUCGCCAGCGAAGGAAAUUCGCACCGAUUUGGAAGCGAUAGCGAGCUUACAAAAACUGGUUUUUGGCCUGCAAAUGGAGUAUUUUAACGUCCCUCCAAUAUUCUGUAGCGUAUACUCUUGUGAUUACAUACUGAAUAUGGAAUUAGCCGAAAAUCCCCCAAAAUACACUGGCUAAGCUCGUGGUGAACCGGGUGGACCUAACAUACGAAAAUCCCAUUAUUGAAUUACCCACCGUACUACCCCUGUUCCGCUGGGCAUGAACCUUCCUUCUCCCGGUGGCAAAUAUGCGCCGAACCUAAACCCAACCGCCACACAGUCAGCAGCAACAUCAUGGAAAAGCAAAAUCCUUCUC